AGCAGUUCCCAGAAAACCCGGUGACGGUGGGGUGUGGCAGUGGCCAAAUAGACUCAACAGAGCCUAGAAACAGCUGUAAGGACAGCGAGCUACUCCCCUGAAGGCGGCGAGCUCGCUCUCGGUUGGCAGCGCCCCUGGGCAUUGCUGGCAGGCAGCAUUCGCACCCCAGCCGGCUGUACCCGCAGGGAGCCCCGGCUUGCCGUGCCCCUGGUCAGGGUCACGGAACGGGUGCUGAGCCUGGUUUGGCUGCAACCACAGACAAGGAGCAGCUGCUGCACCUGGCCCUGCCGCUCCUUGUCACCCAGGGCUUUCGGGUUUGUUUUUUAAGGGAAGAACCUGACAGGCUAAUGGCCUCUCGCCCCCCCUCACAGCAACACCCCUUUGUUGGGGCAGAAGGUGCCUAAUAAGAAGCCGCUGGGUGUCAGGCUGGGGAAGGCAGACCCCCACUCAGACUAAAGCCUAUUCUGACUGUGGAGAAGGGGCCAGCUAGAGCAGAGAGGCCCUGUAAGAUACUGCUCAUUGCCUGAAAUGAUACAACAGGACCUGUCUCAGCUGGCUCUAGCAGCAGAUGGGGACAUUCACACCCAAGUGAAAUGGCUGACCGGCAGCAUCUGUGGAGGGUUCUUGGUCAAACCAGCACAAACUAAACAGGCUUCUCCCUCCCCAGAGACUCUCCUCUAGGUGUGCAGGGAACACCACGGGGGAUGGAGCGUCAGGGACCUACGUUCCACCAGUCACUUACAAGCUAGAAUCCUCCCCCAAAUCAACCCACAGUGACAGUGAUUCAGAUACGCUUCCGGGUGUUCCUGUCCCCCUUAGUGCCCCAUCUGUCCAGUGGGGACAUAACAGCCCUGCCCUGCCUCGCAGGGGGUUUAGAGGAUAAAUGCAUUAGAGCGGGGGUUCUCAGCCUUUCUUUCUGAGCCCCCACAAUAUGCUAUAAAGAUGCCACAGCCCACCUGUGCCACGACUGGUUUUCUGCAUAGCCAGUAGAUGAAAAAUUGUAUUAAAUGGGUAGUUAUACAGCUAAACACACACACCUGUAAUACACAAAAGGAAAUAUAGGUACAAAAAUAAACUGAUUAUUUUUGUUUUCCUUACUCAGUGUGAAACUUGUUGCCGAUCAACAAUUCUGUCCAGACGUGGGGGUGUCUUCGACAAGCACAUGCAUGUGUCAUGGACACUGAAAGACCUGGGGAGCAGGUACGCGUAGCUGCUCACAGAGGGACCUGCAUACAACAGCUCUGAAGAGCCACCAUCCCAUGGGAAGAAAGCUGGGGGACUCCUGAGCAGUACUUCCGGAUAGAACCUCCCUUGGAAUAUUCAUUCCUAAAUGGAUGGAAUCUAAGACUGAUUUGGGUAUUGAAACUGUAUCUUCUGUACAGGAGUGGCUCUGGCUCCACUCUGAGUAGAAAAUGAUGCCAUUCCCUUAUUCACUGGGGGUGCAAGGGAAGAGCUCAAUGCAACGCACCAUCAUUCCCAGCAAAGUUAGGAGAUCCUUGAAUUCUCCAUGAUCCUUUUUACCAGGGUGACAAAACGUCAGCCCAAGUACAGCACACGGCUGGGACGCAGUGAUAAGAGACUGGGAAGCUGUGUGUGGGAUCCUGGCCCCAGGAGGGGAGUGCCAGGAACCAGGUCAGAUUGUGGCUCCAGGGAUGGAGGGAUUAGAGCUUUAGGUUAGGUCUGUAGUGGCAUGCAUAUACAAGUACUGAACUGUGUCUGUGCUUGUGCAUAUUCCCCUUGCCCAUACAGCGUCUCUACAUUAUACAGUGCAGGAUGUGGGUGUAACACCGUAUACCUAUGUCCACACUGGCGCUGUUAAAUGACAAAGCUACCAUUUCAGGGGUAGUCUCCCUGGGUUCUGUGCAGACUGGGGGAGACUAGAAACCACUGUGCUGUGUGUAGGCACGGAUAUUUGCAGAUGGCAGUUCCUGAUUGCAUUGCCCCUCACUGUUUCACUCAAUUCUCCUGGCUCAGUCCUUAACCCCAGUACCUUCCCUUCCAGCACUCGCUAUGCAGACACUGCAGGUACCACUAUUUGCUGGGCCAAUUCAGCAGUGAGCUGCAGAGCUCUGAAGUGGUGGGGUGCAGGAGGAAGCCCAUUGUACAAACAGCACACUCAAGUACAUGGAUUUGACCUAAUUUUUCUUAGAAGGAAAGUGGCUAAGUAGCAAAAGGUAGUUCUGUUAGAAGAGAUAAUAGGAUUCUAUUUCGGACUCUGCCGGAAGUUUUCCACAUCCCAGACCUGUGCACUAUACUAGGCUAUGCUGCCUCCCUGAUAGGUAGGGAUAAGAGGCCUUGGCCAUUGAUAUGGUUUGUCAAGAGCACGAAAAUAUCAGUUAGUGGAAGAGGGAACUUUAACUCAGUCUCCUGGCUUGUUGCCCUGAACACCCUACUUGACUCCAGGGAAUUUUAUUGGGGAAGCUUGCUCUUGCUGUCUCCGGAGACUGUGCACAGCGCUGGCCUUCUGUUUCGGGAUCCCCAGAAUUGAAUAACUUUGUAAUAAUUAGGUUUUGGAGCUUGUUCUUGGUGCCAGACACUAGAUCUCAGAGAGGGGUCCUGGCAAUUAUAGCUCCAGAGAUAUUGACCUUCCUCUGAGACUUAUAGGGAGGCAGCUUGGAGUAGUGGCAAAAGUGCAAAGCCAAAUACAGAGAGUCUGGGGUAGCGCUUUAAACACUUGUGGUGCAUUUCAGAUUCACUUCUGUGUGUGUUACAGUAAUAACUGGUAAUAAGCUGAAGUAACAUUUAGUAACAUCAGGUUUCAGAGUAACAGCCGUGUUAGUCUGUAUUCGCAAAAAGAAAAGGAGGACUUGUGGCACCUUAGCGACUAACCAAUUUAUUGGAGCAUAAGCUUUCGUGAGCUACAGCUCACUUCAUCGGAUGCAUGAAGUGAGCUGUAGCUCACGAAAGCUUAUGCUCAAAUAAAUUGGUUAGUCGCUAAGGUGCCACAAGUCCUCCUUUUCUAUUUAGUAACAUCAUUAGCCAUGACCAGGUCUGACCAUGACUUUGGCCACAUCCUCACUUGUUCGCACACACUUCUGAAACCACUUCAUGUGGUUUUUUGGUGUAUCUGGCUCAUUUAGUCAGUGGCAGCCAGCCAUGUGUUCAGGCCCCAAGUAGGUGCACCGGCCUGGGAUGGGAUCCCCAUCAGGGGAUCUCACCAGUGUGACUCAGGAGCCCCACCCUGUGAGCCUCCUCCAGCUGGCCGACAAAAUAGUACACACCAUGUACAGGGCUGGGCUGCAGGCGACACUGAUCUGCACAGGGGCACCAGUGGAGAAGUCCUGAGAAGUGGUGACACACAACACACACAGUCCUCCUGGUUUUUAAAAUGUAAUUGCAAAAUGUGUAGAUUUAAGCAAUGUCAUAAUUACAUUUAAACACUGGAAGGAUUAUGCAAAAUCAGGGAGGGCUGGUAUCUCUGCUGUCUGGUGGAGCUUGCCCCCAUUUAAAAAAAAAAUCCACCUUUUUUGUGCAGAGAGGAGAGUUAAAAAUUGUGGAAUUUUGAAAACUUAUCAUUUGGGGAAGGCAACCAGUGUUUCAGGAACCCUUUGAUCAAAUGUCCGCCAAUGUGCAGCAUAUUCUGCCCUGGGCCCUGAAUUGGCAUGCCAGUUUCCAAGUCCAUCUAAUGAUGGACUUGGAUUUUAGAGAGAUCACAAAUUUCAGCUUUAAACAGAAACCAUGUUGCAACUAUAACUAAUGAUUUUUCCAUCUUUAGUUUUAUAAUUGCUAGAAAUACACCGUGAACUUGCAACUGAUCAACAUUUUUGAAGCACUGCUCAAUAAUAUUUAUCUAAAACACCUCGUUUGUUUGUUAUUACUUAUAUUUAAUACCACAGGGUAUUGUGCUGUUUUUCCAAAAUCUGAAUAAAGUUCUAUUUCUCUCAUCCGUAA